UAGUCGAUUUCCCAAGUUUCAAACUCUGGUGUUCGAAUACACUAAGCAUUUAAUCGAUAGCCAAUUUGUUGAUUCUGCAUCAAGUAAUAAUCUUUUUCACUGAAAGAAAUGCUCUAUUAGACUAUUAUUGUUUCCCAGUGUUUGUAGCUGUUAGUUGUCCAACCUGUAAAUCCACGAUAGGUUAUUUCUUCAUUUAGUAUAGUUUCAAACUUUCAAUUGAAAAUUAUUCCUCUAAAGGGGUAGUACUUCCCUGGAGUGAAAAACAUCACUCUACUAAUCAUUCUUUUAUGUAACUGAGGGUCUGAGGCCACCAAUCACUGAAACAUGUAAUACUAUUUGGUGCAUUGUCAUUAAAACUUAAUUUAGCUGCUUCUCAUGAUAGAGAUCACAGUCUGUUCCCCCCGGUUACUACGUUGAUUCAAUAUCUGAUGCUGAGAGACCAAAGAGAACCUCUUCCAGGGGAGGCUAAAUCCAUUAUUUGCAGGCGUUAUGGUUUUUUGCUGAAAAGUAACAAAGACUCAUGACAGAGUUAUCUCAGCUAUGUCCUAUGGCCCAAGAGAAUUCACAUGUUGCUUACAGAAAGACAUCCACAAAAUUUCCACUUUCAUUAGAUCGAAAACAUU